rnacentral:rRNA from 1 species
CGCGUAGGCGGCCCGUCAAGUCCCGUGUGAAAGCCCCCGGCUCAACCGGGGAAUGGCACGGGAAACUAGCAGGCUUGAGUUCGGGAGAGGGAAGCGGAAUUUCGGGUGUAGCGGUGAAAUGCGCAGAUAUCCGAAGGAACACCGGUGGCGAAGGCGGCUUCCUGGACCGACACUGACGCUGAGGCGCGAAAGCUAGGGGAGCAAACG